CUCAAGUCUUCUGCUCAUCAAGCUGUCACCAAAUAGCUUUGGCAUUUAUUGAUGAUUCUUGCCUGUAUCCAUUAUUUCUCUGAUGUCAGCAAAGGAGGUGAAUUUCCAACUCUAUCUUUCCUUCUAAUGUGACUUCUCAUGUUUGGGUUCCACCUUCUAGAAUAAACCAAUGAAUGCGAUUUCAAAAUUUCCAUGCUAACAACUUCUACACGUGGGCCUGCGGGCUUGUUCUGCCCGACUAGAGUCAACAUUACAGAGGUGCCGUGUUCUGAGGAGUAUGUCCACAUGCCCUUUCAAGAUUGGAGGCCCUUAUCUGGACUGGGAAGAACAGAACCGAUCCUAGCAUGGAGCUCUGUGGAAUAUGUGCUCGAGAAACGUAAGUUGAGUUGUUUUCUGUAGAGUUUACGUACUAUAUCUAGGAACACCGCCGAUGAAAGGUGGAGGGGAGAGCAAGUGUUCUCCACCUCUGGGGUCACAAGCUCAUGUGUCUACAGGUGCCCGGCAGGUCAUGUAAACGACUGGAGAGGCCAAGCUCUCUCAAGAGGGGAGGCAGCCCUUUCUUGCCUCCAGCCGUUUACCAUAAGGAACCAUGGACCCAGAGUUGCCAAAUCUGAUUUCCUGAGAGGAGGCAGAAAUAGAGAGAUUUAAAUAUGCAGUCUUAAAGGUUUUAAUUAUUGGCUAACUCAUUAAAAACAUGGUAACCUUUUUACUGUAAAACAAAAAAGUAAACUGCCCAAAAUAAUGCGUCGCUUAAUGCGUUAUCAUAAGGCAAGCAUCCAAUUCUCGUAACCAUCACCCAGGGCAAGUAAUAGAACUUUGCCACCUGCCCCAGGAGCCCCACAUGGGCCCCAUUCUAGUCUCGACGCCCCCGCAUUAAUCACUUCCCUACUUUUAUACUGAUAAUUUCCUUUUGCUUCCUUAUGGUUUUCUCAUCUAGGUGUGCAUCCCUAGGUGCUAUGUUCUUACUAAAAACAAGUUGAGUCUUACUCAUUCUUUGAAACUUUUGUCUUCUCAUCUACGGCUCGCCCCUCUAGCCCUUCCUUAAGGUUUUUCUGUUGACGUACUUGGGGUAUUUGACCUGUAAACUUUCCCACAGUCUGGAUUUUGCUGAUGUUUACUGAACGGUGUGGCUCAACACGUGGCCUGUACUACCUGCCUCUUGGCAACUGGAUCCAAAACGUACUAUGCACAAUCAUCACAUUGCUGACUAUACGCAUUAAGUGUAGUGACUCCUUUGAUCCCAUAACAUGGGCCACAUAGGGAUGCUUUAAAGGGAAACAACCAGGC
rnacentral:lncRNA from 1 species